rnacentral:rRNA from 1 species
UACGAAGGGUGCAAGCGUUAUUCGGAGUAAUUGGGCGUAAAGGGUGCGUAGGCGGCGCAUUAAGUCAAUUGUUAAAUACCUCAGCCUAACUGAGGUCCUGCGAUUGAUACUGGUGUGCUUGAGGAUGGGAGAGAGAAGUGGAAUUCUCGGAGUAGCGGUAAAAUGCGUAGAUCUCGAGAGGAACACCAAUGGCGAAGGCAGCUUACUAAGCUGUAACUGACGCUGAGGCACGAAAGUGUGGGGAUCAAACAGG